rnacentral:rRNA from 1 species
AAUGAACGUUGGCGGCGUGGAUUAGGCAUGCAAGUCGGACGGGCCGCAAGGCCAGUGGCGCAAGGGUGAGUAAGGCGACGGUAACCAACCCCGCGAUCGGGCAUAGCCGGGGGAAACCCCGGGUAAUUCCAGGCGACGCGGCGUCCCGGCAUCGGGGGGCCGGCCAAAGAGUGAUCGUCGCGGGACGGGCCGUCGUGGUAUUAGCUGGUUGGCGGGGUGACGGCCCACCAAGGCGGCGAUGCCUACCGGGCGUGCGAGCGUGGCCCGGCACACUGGGACUGAGACACUGCCCAGACUCCUACGGGAGGCUGCAGUCGAGAAUCUUCGGCGAUGGGCGCAAGCCUGACCGAGCGACGCCGCGUGGAGGACGAAGGCCUUCGGUUGUAAC